AUUAGGAGCCACCUGGUUCUGGACCCAGCUUGGAAGUCUGGCUGUGGGUUGUCUCACAGCCCUGGGUCCCCUGGGGUUUGGACUAGAGCAUCUUGGGGUCUCCAUCCCUGCCCCUGCCGGCUGGCCCUUUGGCUGGUGCUGCAGCCAUGCCAGGAUUAAGGAAUAAACCCUCCCGGUUAGUAGAAUCCUUACUCCACCCAGUCCGCAGGACAGCCAGCCCAGGGCCGAGGGUCCCCUAGGGCUACUAUGAGUGGGAAAAUGCAAAUGGACAAGGAGCUUCAAAAGGGGACGGGACUUCAACUGACUGCAUUUGGACCCAGGCUUCUAGAGGCUUUUUUUUUUUUUUUUUUUUUUGGCCACACCCAUGCAUGGCAUGUGGAAGUUCCUGGGCCAGGGAUCGAACCUGCGCUGUAGUUGUAACCUGCACCACUGCUGAGGCAAUUCCGGAUCCUUAACCAGGUAGGAACUUUCAGGUUCCCAGAGGCUUAAGAAGGCUUUAGGGUUCUACCAGAAGUGGGUUUGAAAAUUCCUUUGCUACAAAUGCUCUGAAGCAAGCUAUGGCUUUCUCUCUAUCCGUCAUCCACGCAGCCAGCGCUGCCUGCUAGCAUGUUCUUGAAUGGAGCAAGCCCAGCUGGCAGAGCGUCCAAGCGCAGGUGGCUGCAGCAGCUGCCAGGCUGGGGAAGGAGCAGUCAUUCCAGGCCGGCCAGCCCUUAAGUUGUCAUCCACCAUGGGUGGGGCAGGAGCUGGAUGAGGAAGAAACUCACAAAGGGGCAUGAAUCUGCCUCCGCAGAGCCUGGACCGCCUCCCCGAGAGCAGGGAAGGGCCUGCGCCAUGGGACGUACAGCCUUACAUGGAGGGUCCCAGGUCCCCAGGAAGGGGAAAUGCACAAAAGCUGAAGGGAGAGGAGAAAACUGACUGUGACAAUACAAUGAAGAAGGAACUUGGGUUGGGGGAGUCUGGGGUAUCACAAAAGAACGCCGCUUUAGAACAGGACAUGCCCAGAGUUCCAGAUUAAGAACCCAACUAGUAUCCAUGAGGAUGCGAAUUCCAUCCCUGGCCUCGCUCAGUGGGUUAAGGAUCCGGUGUUGCCGUGAGCUGUGGUGUAGGUUGCAGACUCAGCUCAGAUCUGGCAUUGCUGUGGCUGGGAUGUAGGCUGUGGCUGGGAUGUAGGCUGGCGGCUGUAGCUCCAAUUCGAUCCCUAGCUGGGAACCUCCAUAUGCCACAGGUGCAGCCCUAAAAAUACAUAGAUACAUAAAUUUUAAAAAUAAAACAGGACCUCCCCACCUCUUGAAGCA
rnacentral:lncRNA from 1 species